UUGCAUUUUUGAUUUUGCUCAUCUUAUAUUUCUGCUAUGGAUGUGUAGUUGUUGAGAUAUGUUAUAUGUUUAGUUGAUCAUUAUGUUACGUGUUGUCAUGUUUUGGUAUUGACUGUGUUAUGUGAUGGUGUGAGUAGCUUGCGAUGGUAGACGUGGGUAUGUGUCGAGUGAUGCAUGGAAGUGGUGAAUGCGUCAAUGGCUGAGCGCUCUAUUGUCCCUAGAGAAUGCGCCAUGGCAAAGUGCACUUGAGGUUUCAAGGAUUAAAUCAGGAUUUUCAGAUGAUCAGUGAGAUACAGCAGGGUCGCAAGCCUUCACUAAGCAUUUUCGCCAGUGGGUCAUUGAUGAGACUCAUCGUUUAUUAUGCUACAUUUCUACUGUUGUUAUUGAAUAAAGCUAGCCAUGUGCUACUCAGUUUGUAAUACUUUAUAAAUUUUGGAUCAUACGUUAUAGUAAAUGAUGCACUUGUUAUUUGAUAUUCA